rnacentral:rRNA from 1 species
GACGAACGCUGGCGGCGUGCUUAGCACAUGCCAGUCGAACGGAAAGGCCCUGCGUUUGUGGGGUGCUCGAUUGGCGAACGGGUGAGUAACACGUGAGUAACCUGCCCUUGACUUUGGGAGAACUUCAGGAAACUGGGGCUAAUACCGUAUAGGAUCCCCUGUUCCAUGGUGGGGGGUGGAAAGUUUCGGCGGUUGGGGAUGGAUUCGCGGCUUAUCAGCUUGUUGGUGGGGUAGGGGCUUACCAAGGCUUUGACGGGUAGCCGGCCUGAGAGCGUGACCGGCCACAUUGGGACUGAGAUACGGCCCAGACUCCUACGGGAGGCAGCAGUGGGGAAUAUUGCACAAUGGGCGGAAGCCUGAUGCAGCAACGCCGCGUGCGGGAUGACGGCCUUCGGGUUGUAAACCGCUUUCGCCUGUGACGAAGCGUGAGUGACGGUAAUGGGUAAAGAAGCACCGGCUAACUACGUG